rnacentral:tRNA from 1 species
GGUUGUGGCUCAGUGGUAGAGUGCUUGCCUUGCAUGCAUGGGGCAGUGGGUUCCAUCCUCAGCACCA